rnacentral:misc_RNA from 1 species
UGAAAGGCGAAACGUAAUGUGAAUCGCAACUAACAGUGAAUCAUCGAAUCUUUGAACGCAGGCCGCACUUUUCGGCGUCUCAUUUCGGUGAAAUGCCGGGAAGUAUCUAUGUAUGAGUGCCAGUCAAUGUAUUUUGGUUCAGGAAGGAAUAUUAAAUUUUAAUAAAAAAUUCCUGAUUACAAAGCAUGUCUAAAGUGACAUGUCACAUUGAGAUUUUAAUCUAGUCUGGCCUCAUAUAUGGAAGGUUACCCGCUGGAUUUAA